rnacentral:lncRNA from 1 species
UAGCGAACAGUAGGUUCCAGGAAUGGUUAAUCCCGUAACUAACUCUACAUCAUGAUAAGCGAACUAGAUAACCUAAUGAACAUCCGAAGAUUGUCCAAUUAACCUCUGUAGCGAACAGUAGGUUCCAGGAAUGGUUAAUCCCGUAACUGACUUCUGUUGAACUAGGUUGGGCUGGGUGAUUUACUGAAAAUACUAAUAAAUCAUCUCCACGAAUCGAGUUUCAAGUAUUCCUAUAAGUAUACACAGGUAAUUGUAUCUACGUAAAGGUAUUCAUGUAAUGUGUUCAUGUAAGCGUAUUCAUGUAUCAUGUAAGCAUAUGUAAAGGUACUCAUGUAUCAGGUAAUGUACUCGUAAAGACUCAUGAAUGAACUGACUCUUGUGUGAUUCCUUGUAAUA